rnacentral:ncRNA from 1 species
AAGGCAGAACCCGAAAAGCCUGUAAAAGAGUAGGAA